rnacentral:lncRNA from 1 species
AACUGAUUAGAGCCCGUAGAGAUUUUGGAAUUACGGCAGCUAUAGUGACAGCUGUGGCAGUGUCUGCUGCUGCAGCAGUUACAGCUGGAGUAGCCAUGGCCAGCCAGGUUCAAACUGCUGCCACUAUUAAUCAGGUUAUUCAACAAACAUCCACCAUACUUGAAUCUCAAAGUAGAAUUAAUCAACACAUUCUAUCUGGGAUUUUGGCUGCUAAUCAAAGGAUAGAUCUGCUUCAAGCUCAAGUUGAGGAAUUGUCUGACCUAGUACUUUUGGGUUGUAUUGAUCAACGUGCACAUUUAUGUAUAACCUCUGUCAGAUUUAAUGAUUCCAGGAAUGCCUCCCGCAUCAUCGGGGAAUAUCUAUCCGGAACCUGGUCCAUGGAAGCAGAAAACUUGAUCCAGUCUCAACUAACUCAGAUUGCUGUUUUGAAUAGCACCCGUGUCGAACC